CGAGCAGUGGAUCACUGGGCUCGCGGGUCGUGAAGAACGCAGCCAGCUGCGGAUUUGGUGUAAAUUUGCAGAACACCAGAUCACUGAUUAUUCGAACGCACACGGCUCCUUC